rnacentral:rRNA from 1 species
AUGGAGAACCAGCGGAGCGCUGUCGGCUGGCGAAUCCACCCUCCUCCGCCUCCCCAUCUCCCCCCUCCACCCCCUCCAUCCACGCAAGGGCAUGACGACCAGAAAUUUGGGGGAAGUCAAGAAAUCUCCCUAGAAGGUACCGCUAAGAAUUCUGGUAGAGCCAAGUGGAAUCAUCAGAUGAAGGCAUAUCUCAUUGAACUCUUAAGAGAUCAUGAUGUUCCCAAAUACCGGACAGUACAUGCUCCACAAGUUGAGGCAAACUCGGCUCAAGGAAAUGACUUGACAGUACAUGCUCCACAAGUUGAAGCAAUACCAAUUUCCUCACAACAUGUUGGACAAACCUUGCAUGAAAUUCCACAAGUUGUACAUCGCAAUCGUCGACCAUCUAGCUCAGCUCCUGAGGUUACUAGCAGGAAGAGAGCGAAAAAGCAAAAGACGACCAGUAUUGAUGAUUUUCAUGAGAGAUACCUGAAAUUCAGAAGGGAAGAAAUAGAUAGGUAUGCAGCCAUUGAGGAGAGGAAAUUAAAGGACCCCUUCAGCAUCAAGAAAUGCAUCAAAGCACUUGAAAGGUUGGAGGGUCUUUCGAUGGCCGAUAUGCUAAAAGCAGCGGACAUCUUCACCGCCAACAAGGAGAACAGGGAAGUAUUUCUAUCAUUUUCAAGUAACGAAUUACGGUUAGGUUAG